UGAAAAAAAAUUGAAAUUUUUCUCAAGCUAGUGAACUGAACCAUCUAAGUAACUAGAUAAAAAAUCAACCGAGAGACUGCGAGUAGUGGCGAGCAAAAGCGGUAUAGAUUACUCUUA
rnacentral:rRNA from 13 species